CGAUGCAACGCGAAGAACCUUACCUACUCUUGACAUCCAGAGAACUUNNCAGAGAUGGAUUGGUGCCUUCGGGAACUCUGAGACAGGUGCUGCAUGGCUGUCGUCAGCUCGUGUUGUGAAAUGUUGGGUUAAGUCCCGCAACGAGCGCAACCCUUAUCCUUUGUUGCCAGCGGUUNGGCCGGGAACUCAAAGGAGACUGCCAGUGAUAAACUGGAGGAAGGUGGGGAUGACGUCAAGUCAUCAUGGCCCUUACGAGUAGGGCUACACACUUGNUACAAUGGCGCAUACAAAGAGAAGNGACCUCGCGAGAGCAAGCGGACCUCAUAAAGUGCGUUGUAGUCCNGAUUGGAGUCUGCAACUNGACUCCACGAAGUNGGAAUCGCUAGUAAUCGUGGAUCAGAAUGCCACGGUGAAUANGUUCCCGGGCNUUGUACACACCGCCCGUCACACCAUGGGAGUGGGUUGCAAAAGAAGUANUUAGNUUAACUAGAGGGNGGGCGGGCNNNAGGAACAANNACAANNNCAGGGNCCGGCGUNNGACNNCAC
rnacentral:rRNA from 1 species